UAUCAACACCUCCUACUAGCGCUCUACCAAACACACUCCAUAUGAGAUCCUUUUGAAGAGGGUACCCCAGUCUGUGACAAUGCUCAACCAAGCGACAAGUCAUGAUGAUCCGGACCAGGAAAGCAUGCCAACCAUCCAAGAUGUGCCGCCUGAAGCCAUAGACGACCACAUGGAUACCAUGAUGGCACAAGCAGAAAAAAUAAAUGAAAAGAUAAAGGAGAAUAUUGGUGUGGCCCAAGCAAGGCAGAAAAAAGAAUAUGAUCAGCGCAAGCAGAAAGGUGUUAAAAGUUUCAACUUUUCCGUGGGAGA